rnacentral:lncRNA from 1 species
CCUAGUCAGUCUAUCCAACCAUCCUAUUACAAUCAGCUGUCAUACCAACCUCCUUAACAGAUCAAUCUAGCCGAUGAUAGAUUUAAUCAACUUCAACAAAUGAUUAUAACCCAAUAGCAAUCCCUCGUCAGGCUAGAAGCAUAAAUAGAUUAAUUAGCUGAGUUUUCCAUGAGGAAAGAACUAGGUAAAUUAUCGAGCCAACC